CCAUGUUUGCUCUGCCGUGCUCAUGCAGAGCUCCUGGUUAUGCCCAGAUAUCACAUUGGAGAGCCUGUUCCCCUACCAAACUGUUAGAUGGGCAUGAUGACAUGUUUCAUCUAUAAAGGGGAAACAAGCAAGAUACCCCCCACCCCCCACUCCAGUGCAUUGUGGCCCAGCUGAAGAGAUUUGGUUACAGGAGAGGAUCCAAGAACAGUUCAUCACACUAUCAGUGGCACCCAUCAAAAAAGAGGUAUAUUAUAGGCUUGCGUCUGCAAUGCAUAGCAAUUGCAACACUUGAUAUAGCUUUUAGGGCUAAUGAAUUAUGACCCCCAAAAAGGCAUGAGCUGCUGCAUGGAAAACGCAAAUAGCAAACACCCUUGUGCCACUACGAUUGUGCCUGUGGAUAUAUCAUGGGGUCAAGCCUCCAGUGCAAGAAGCAAUGCAUGAAGAACCCUCAGUCUCC